rnacentral:lncRNA from 1 species
UUUUUUUUUGUUAAAUAUCUAAUUUUCUUCUUGCCCUCACCACUGGAGUGCCAAAUUUUGUAUUGUUGCAUACUCUGUCACCCUUCAAUUUAUGCUAAAACUAACUUGCAUUUGUUUUUUAUAUACAUAGGCUGGGAGGUUGGAGAAUGUAGUUGGCUGGUAUCAUUCACACCCUGGUUAUGGAUGCUGGCUGUCAGGCAUUGAUGUGUCAACUCAGAUGCUUAAUCAACAAUUUACAGAGCCAUUCUUGGCUGUUGUGAUAGACCCUACAAGGACUGUUUCUGCUGGUAAAGUAGAGAUUGGGGCUUUCAGGACAUACCCAAAAGAUUACAAGCCACCAGAUGAGCCUGUGUCCGAGUAUCAGACUAUUCCACUCAACAAGAUAGAAGAUUUUGGUGUCCACUGCAAACAGGUAAAUAGAUCGAGUGUCUGUUCCUUUCUCUCACUUUGUUAUUUGGCUCAGAUGUGUGGUCUAGUUCUGUAAGUUCUCACUGGAUUUCUUGCAGUACUAUGCUUUGGAUAUAACUUAUUUCAAGUCAUCCCUGGACUCUCACCUCCUUGAUCUGCUCUGGAACAAGUACUGGGUCAACACAUUGUCUUCAUCACCACUUCUGGGCAACAGGGAUUAUGUUGCUGGGCAGAUCUUUGAUUUAGGCAAGCUUUUCAUUUACAAUGAUAUCCAGUUUUUAUAUUGAAAUUAUUGCAUUUUCCUGUCUUGAUAAUGUUAUGUAUCAUUUUAUCCUAUGCAGCUGAUAAACUAGAGCAAGCAGAAGGCCAGCUGGCACACAGUCGAUUUGGUGGUAUGCUUAUGCCAUCACAACGGAAGAAAGAGGUCUGUUUCUGCAUGUGCUUCCUAAACUAUCUUGUGUAUUCAUUGCAAGACUUGGGUUUUGCCCUUGUGAAGUUUUAAAGGAUGGUGCUGUUUAAUCCUGCCUGUCUAAUGCUAUUUAUCACCCAUUGUUUCCCUAGUUUUCUGCUACUUUUACUUGUCAAAUUAUGAAAUUAGGAAGUUCUCAUCUAGUUGCUAUGCUAUCAAUGAACCGUAUGCUUCCCCCCUUAUUUGUCAUUUUCAGUUAUAAAUGGAUUGUACUGUGUACCUGCAACUUGUAAAAUAAACGCUGGGUACAGUACUACAGUUGACACAUUAAAGUCUUGCCAUCAUCAAACAAGUGUUUAGAUGUGACUUGUUAUAACCCGAUUAUGUUGUCAUGUUUUAGAGCUUCACCUGAGUUUUGUGAGAAGUGGAAUAUGUAAACGGUUUGAAUAUGACUACCAGGAGAUAAUAAGCAAUAGAGUAAAGUGGCAUGUGUUUAUGUCUGCUAUCGAAAGUGACUCAAUGGGUGAAUAAAUUAAUGGAGAGAGCUCGUGAAGUUCUAAAUUUCCAAUGAUCAAGUCGCUCUAGGAUUGUGUUUCUAUUUGAUGCUUCAGUUGCACAUAUAUGCCAAUAUAUCUUGUGGCAGUGAACUUAUUUUGCUCAAUUACUUUGCAGUCUCCUGAAGUAUAUAGUAGGAUUUGAAACAUGUGAACCAUGUCUGAUAAGUCCUUUGUUUGGUUGUAAUGUCCAUAUGCAGUAUAAUCUAAACAAUCUUCUUACAAAUAAAUUGCUUUAGUUUUCUUAUUGUAAUGUAUUUCUUGCAUUGUGAUGUUUGCAUGCCUACACGCACUAUCCUAUUUCUUAAGAAUUGUCGCCCCAUCUUAUGCUCCAACAUAGCUGUGUUCAUAUUUGUCUGUGGCAUCACACACGUUUGUGGCUAUGUAAUUUUGCAUUAGCAGGAUAGGCAAUUAAUUGUUUUGUCAGACCUUGAUACAGUUUUGUCUUGUGUGUAUAUUGGCCUGUGCCAUUUUCAGCAAGAUGAGUCUCCACUGGCAAAGGUAACUCGAGAUAGCUCCAAAAUCACAGCUGAACAGGUCCAUGGUCUCAUGUCACAGGUGAUCCUUGACUUUCGCGUGGUUUAGUCCUUCCCUUGUUGUAUUUUCUUAUCUUGCCCUAACAUUUUCCCUUAUGAUGCCCCCAGGUAAUAAAAGACAUCCUCUUCAACUCUGUCCACCCAUCAAGCAAGGCAAGCACAAGUGCUCCAGAUUCAUCCGGGCCUGAGCCUAUGGUUGAAGCCUGAGAGUUGCAGUGAAACGGAACGCUGAAAUCUGAGUUAUGUCAUCGCUUCAGAUCGUGGCCCUUUAGCUAUCUGAUUCAGAAUGCGCAAACCAAGUUACAUUUUGUCAAAACAAAAUCAUUAUGUAAUUAUGAGUUGCCUUCUGUAUCUUGGGUUCUCAAUGAGAGGGAGGUGUGAUUUACUGGAGUAAAAUUCACUUGGUAGGAUGAUCGCUAUGUUGAUGCUCACGUUAAUCUGGCUCAGUGCCAACCUUUAUGGAGUGUCAAACAAGUUCUUUUAUAAUUGGCUAGCAGUUAGUUUGAGACCAUGGCACUUGAUUGGAUUUUUGAAGCUUCAUAUCCUGACUAGAGGAAGAUGAACUUGACCUUUUUGAAUUGUCUGAAUGAGGAAUCCUCAAGUUGCACUUCAGCACUCCGGGCGGGGUUGGCUAUAUGCUGUGUGGCGUUGGCUAAAGAAACCCCAAACCCGGCUGCUACAAGUGAGUACCAAGUCUACGGGAGCGAAAUUAUGAAGUGUUCAGUACUCGUAGCUCUGUGUAAGCUCUCCCAUAUUGGUAUAAUAUAAAGAAAAAUUUUAGGUUAAUUACAUGUUUAGAUUUGGAAAUGAUCUGAGCGAGUCCAGGUGCAAAUGGACCUGAUCCUGGCUUCCCGGAAACCACAGGUGCUAGGCCAGGAUGCUAAAAAAAACGUAUCUUGACCAGCCAAAGACCACAUAAAUGCCACCAAAUAUAAAAGCUGUACAUGCACCUGAGAGUAAACUCGCAGCAGCCACCACCAUCAUGAGAGCACACACCAUGUUCACCUCAGCCUUUCUCCUGCUCGCCUCGUUGCCUUUCCCUGCGUGUUCGGCAAGCGGACGCCGGAGCACUCUAUGGCGCGGCGACUCAAUCGCCGUGGAAGACGCCUCCGGCGACCUCCUCGUGUCCCCCAGCGGCAACUUCUCGUGUGGCUUCUACAAGGUGGCCACCAACGCCUACACGUUCGCUAUCUGGUUCGCCCGCUCCGCCGACGCCACCGUGGCGUGGGCGGCCAACCGCGACGCCCCCGUCAACGGCAGGGGCUCGCGCGCCGGGUUCCGCAGGGACGGCUCGCUGGUGCUGCAGGGCUUCGACGGCCGCGUGGUGUGGAGCACGAACACCAGCGGCACGCAGGCCGACCGCGCGCGGCUCCUCGACACCGGCAACCUCGUCGUGUCCGACGCCGCCGGGCGCACGCUGUGGCAGAGCUUCGACUGGCCGACGGACACGCUCCUCCCCGAGCAGCCCAUCACCCGGUACAAGCGGCUGGUGUCGGCGUCGGCGAGGGGCUUGCCGUACUCCGGCUACUACAACCUCUACUUCGACAGCAACAACAUCCUCAACCUCAUCUACGACGGCCCGGAGAUCAGCAGCAACUACUGGCCGGACCCUUUCAAGAAGUGGUGGGAGAACAACCGAACGGCCUACAACAGCAGCCGGUACGGCAGCCUCGACAGGCACGGCGUCUUCACGGCGAGCGACCACACGCGGUUCAACUCCUCCGACGUGGGCGAGGGCGUCAUGAGGCGGCUGACGCUGGACUACGACGGCAACCUCCGGCUGUACAGCCUCGACGACGGCGACGGGAGCUGGCGCGUCACGUGGGUUGCGCUCCCGCGGCAGUGCGACGUGCACGGGGUCUGCGGCCGCUACGGCGUGUGCGCGUACCUGCCGGCGCUGGCGUGCUCUUGCCCGGAGGGGUUCGUCGCCAGCGACGCUGGCGACUGGAGCAAAGGGUGCCGCCGCGAGUUCGACGUCCGGUGCGGCGAGCCCGUCUACUUCGCGGAGAUGCCGGGUUUUGACUUCUGGGGGUACGACUUCAACUACACCCCGGGUGUCACGAUGGAGACGUGCCGGAAGAUGUGCCUGGACGACUGCAACUGCCAGGCGUUCGGGUACAGGAUGGGCGUCGGCGAGUGCUAUCCCAAGAUCUCGCUCUGGAACGGCCGGGCUCAGGACACCAGUAAGCAGAACAUCUUCCUCAAGGUCCCGACGCGUCUCAAGAACCUGAACCCGACCGUGCUGGACUUCCAUGGCCAUGCCUGCACCGUGCCCGAGCAGAACGCCAGCGUCAGCGCCUCCUACUUCCAUGUCAGGGGGAACAAGAUAAACUUCACCUACUUCUACUCGUUUCUCACGGCGGCGUUCGUCGUGGAAGCCAUUUUCAUCGUCGUCGGCUACUUGUUCGUCUUCCGAGCCGACCCGGCCGCAGGACGGGUCAGCGAUGAGGAAGGGUACGCGCUUCUGUUCAGCCACUUCAGGCGGUUCACCUACGACGAGCUAUCAGACGUGACUGGCAAGUUCACGGACAAGCUCGGACGGGGGGCGUCAGGGACCGUGUACAAGGGCGUGCUCGACGACGGCCGCUGCAUCGCCGUGAAGCGGCUAGACGACCUGACGCAGGCGGACGAGGUGUUCCGGUCGGAGCUGAGCGUGAUCGGGCGGAUCAACCACAUGAACCUGGUCAGGAUGUGGGGGUUCUGCUCGGAGCACUCGCACCGGCUCCUGGUCUCCGAGUUCGUGGAGAACGGCUCGCUCGACAGGGCCCUCUUCAGCGGCGACGGCGAGCGCGCGUUGGGGUGGCGCUCGAGGUACAAGAUCGCCGUCGGCGUCGCCAAGGGCCUGGCAUACCUCCACCACGAGUGCCUGGAGUGGAUCGUGCACUGCGACGUGAAACCGGAGAACAUCCUGCUGGACGCCGAGCUUGAUCCCAAGAUCACCGACUUCGGGCUGGUGAAGCUGCUCAGCCGGGACGCGUGCGACCGGCGGCUGGUGCUGUCGCGGGCGCAGGGCACCAGGGGAUACAUCGCGCCGGAGUGGGCGACGAGCCUACCGAUCACGGGGAAGGCCGACGUGUUCAGCUUCGGCGUCGUGCUCCUGGAGCUGAUCAGGGGGCACAGGUUGUCCGACUGGGUGGUGGUGGGAGGCCGGGAAGAGGAUGUGCACAUGGAUUUACAGCUGCUCGUCGCCUGGCUCAAGGUGAAGAUGAAGAGCGACGAUGAGAGGGCUUCGUGGAUGGAGGAGUUCAUCGAUCCUCGGCUGCGCGGUGAUUUCAGCCACUUGCAGGCGGCGGCAAUGCUGGAGAUGGCGGUGUCGUGCGUGGAUGACGAUCCCAAUAGUAGACCGAGCAUGAACGCUGUUCUGCAGAAGCUCCUGUCGCUGGAAGAUGCAGUGACCGUGCGCCAUGCGUGACAUGUCCCUUGUCAUCUGGUUUUCAGUGGGACCAAAGACUUUGAUCUGAUGUACAGAGUGCAAAAAAUGUGAAUGAAUAUUUGUGAAACUGUGUGAAUGAGUAGUAACCGGUGAGCUCCUAGUUAGCUGCCACUAACAUAGUGCUGUACUGCUGUGUCAAAUAUACCAAAGCAAAAAAUAAAAAAAUAUUGACUAUCUAAUUAAUACUCUAAUUAUUCAUGAGGUUAACCAUUUUGUUAAAAAAAAUAUAAGAGUUGUCUAUACCACCCCUAGUCAUUUUUUGCCCUCCCAAAACCUCAUUCCCCCCUAGCUCUUAGACCUAGAUCCAACGACCAUGAGAUCAUCUCGCUCCUUUGCCGCCUUGCAGCUCCUUUCUCCUAUUGUAUUAAUUGAUGAGCAUGUCAUUGGAUCUUUUGCCAUAAUUUUGCAGGAGUCCUAAACUCCUAAAACCCCAAAACCCUAUUCCAUAGCUCGCCAAAGAAGCAUCCUCACACCCAAGUGAAGGAGAUGGUUGAUGUCGUUGGUGGAGAAAAGACAAGGGAAGAUGAAAAGAAAAGAAAAAGUGCGGCAAGGGGAUAACACACUCGAUCCAAGCAGGGGCUAAACAUCUUGGUUAUCUCUGACGAGUAAUACCCAAUAGCUUUGAAUGUCACACCUCUGCAAGUAAAUCUAGCUAAUGGCUUCACGUAGCUCCGUUGAGCAGGUAUGUCCUUUUGCAGCGCAAAUCGUGUAAUAAACUUGUUAUUACUUAUCAAGAAAUAUAAAGAUGUGCAACUCUCCUAUGUAUUUGAGAAAAAAAAGAUUGAUAUAUAUAGCUUUCCCCAAAAUAUAAGAUGCUACAAUUCCAUAUUAUUCACACUGCUCCUGUAAUAUCGGUACCAUGGCCGCCUUGUGGAACUAGCAUGCGGCCGUUUUUGGACGUCGGUCCUUUUGAAUGAAAUGUUUAGGGGGCGCGCUCCACCCCGUUACUUUUUUUAAAAAAAAUUGGUGGAUUGAUAUUAAAGUAGCAAGGACUAAAGUAUUGGGUGGCUACGUGGUUGGAAUGAGUCACUUUCGAAUAUAGGGAGCAAGUUCGCUUAGCUGUAUGUGUUUGCACACCGUGCUGCACGUUGAGAGCCUGGGUAUGUUCUGGCUAUGUUCUCACGUUAUAGACGUGUAUAGUAAAAUGCGUAAGUAGCAUCAAGAUAAACUGCAGGAGUUAGGACAUGUUUGUUUGAGAUUAUAAUUCAUUUAGAUUAUAUAAGUUGGAUUAUGAAUCAAGGAUGUACUGUUGACGCUUUUUUGAUCAACACACGAAAACACUCGAGCGUGCAGCGUGCGGAGGAGCUUGAUGCAGCGCCUCUGCACAAGCCGGUCAGAUCGGUUUGAUGGACCGGUCAGACCGGUUUGCCGGUGAGCUCGGCAGUAAACCUUCGAACGCUCGCCCGGGAAGGAUCCCGUCGGGGCACGCGCACGCAGGGUUGCUCUAGGAUCGGCAGGCCACCUAAAGUGCCUUCAGACGUCGUCGAGACGAAGGAAGAACGGCAAGUAGUAGAUUGGAAAAGCUUGGGCAAAGAAUAAAGGAAAAGGUACAAAAUAGUAGAUUGUUUUUUGUCGAUUGGGUUCUGUUGUCCUCAAUCGGCCAAAUCCCCUUAUAGGGAGGGAAGGUCUUACCCAUAUAGGAGUCGAAACCCUAAUACAAAUCGUGUCAAAUUACAACUUCUACUCGGAUUACACAGAUCCAGGCCGGUCAGACUAGCCUGGUCAACCGGUCUUACCAGUCUACCUGGGUGCAGAUCUUGCGAGGGUCGUAUCUACCUCAUCCGAACUCCAAAUCGGACGUUCCAUAUAUGAAUUUUGAUCGUCUCGACAAGAGCUACACCAUGGUGAAGUCCAAUUUGCAUUUUGGGAACUUUCCUCAAACCGGUCUGACCGGUUGCGAGACCGGCCUGAAUAAAUCUAACCCGAUUCUCCCAGACCUGCCACUUUUGGACGUCAACACAUACUACAAUGAAAGAUCGUAUUAAAAUUACAUUAGGAUUAUAAUAAUCUGAAAUAAGCCCACUGAAGGAAACAAACAUACCCUUAUAUUGCGGUCUUAGAGCAACUCCAAGAGGCUGCUAAUCUUACCCCAAUACAUUUUUUAGGGAAAAAAGGAGAAAAAACGAACUCCAACAGUCCACUCAAACCUUCCCCAAUUUUUUAGCAACGCUAAAAAACAGCCUACCACCGCGUAUAUUUUAGCGUUGGCAUUCCUCCCCCAAUCCUGAUUCCCACACGCUCGCGCGUCCCUUCUGAUGGGCCCAAUACGAUGACGUGGCCUGUUUUUAAAUAUUAGGGGCUAUUUAUUAGCGAUCUGUUGUGGAUUGAUAUGUUUUUGGAGAAAUUUAUUUUUGGAAGAACCCCCAGUACAUAGUUUUGAGGAAAUUUUUUUUGAGUACUCUUGGAGUUGCUCUUACGGAUCACGGAGUUCUUUGUGAUUUUUUUUCCGAAAAGCUUGUGUUAUUUGUGAUUUCGACCGAGCGAGCCGAGUGCACAGGUCGCGGCGCGGCGUGGGCCGUGUCGAGUGAACACCUGCAAAAGAUUUGCCUCGGGGAGCUACGGCCCCCAAUUGCUGCGCCACGGGCCCACGGCUCACACCCGAACCGCUUACUGUACUGCCUACUGGCCGCCUUCUGUUUGAUAUUUGCUGACAGACCUGUCACCAAGCUUCCUGCUCUCGCCAGCAAAAGUCAAAGGCAAAUGAUUGAUUUUUCUUGAAAAAUCAAAGUCUCAUAAACUUAUGGCACAAGUUGCAAGUUGAAAAUCUAACAUACGCUGACUACAAAUAGUUAAUGGGCACACCAUAAGAAAGUACUCGGGGAGAUCGUGAGUGCAUGUUAAGUCAAAUUAUUUUAAUUUUAGUAAAAUUUACAGAGAAAAGUAGAAGACUAUUAACAUCUACCAUUUGAAAGGAGCAAAAUACGAAAACAUAUUUCAUAAUUGAUCUAUCAUGCUUAUAUUUGGCAUCAUAAAUAUUAUUUUUUUCUAUAAGCUUGGUCAUAUUUAAAUAAUUUGCACAGGAGAAAGUUAGAAUCCUUUAUAUUUUAGGACAGAGGUAAUAUUUGUUUUUAAAUAAAGAAAAUCAUUCCAGCCUAUAUAGCUGAUGGAUAUAAGCAAAUAGAAUUGAGACUACGAGGACUGAUGCAGGUUUCAAAACUGAUGCUAACGAAGGAGAGUAUUGUGAAACUAAGCUCAAAUCCGAAAACUAAACUUCCAACCAAUUAUCAAGCUACUGCUGUAGCCAAAAAAAAUAUUGAAGGGGACUGGUAAGAUCGAUAUGCUAAUUUUUUUUUCCUAAAUUUCCAAAAUUUGGCCAAACUUUGAAUAAAUUUUGAAGAAUCCCGGCAAAAAAAUAAUCAGCGUUACCAGUAGGGUCAUUUAGGAUCGAAAUUCGCCAAUUUUUGAUGAAUUUUAUCUGAAAUUCCAAACACUGCUUCCAAUUCUAACCAAAGUUUUUGUUGAAUAACUCCGUCAGAGCCACUGCACCCCCACUAAAAUAUGGAUUUAAAGCUUGGAAGAAAAUCCUUUAAGCCAAGAUAUAAAUGUAAAUACACUAGAUGGCGGUUGAAUGUCAAAGAAUGACGUUCACUUAAUUAGAGAAAAUAAGAUAUCUGAGUUGAGUUUGAAUGACAAAACCGAAAAAAGGUUCCCGCUCAAAUACUAUGGAUUAACUCUAUGAACGAAAAACAGGGAAUGGUGUAACUAUAACCAACCAUAUCAACACCCAUAGGUAGGGGGCAGAUCCACUAAUGCAUGAAUGCCAACACCCAUAACCCUAACCCCUCAAGGCCCUACCCGAACCCCCAACCUGAAAUCUCCAUCUCCAAUUCAAGUUUUAACUAGUACAAUUUUGUGUGAUUGAUGGAUAAGUAAAAUAUCAACCAACUGAUGGAGUAAUUUUUUUAAAAAAGUUUGUUGACAUAAAAAUUGGGGCAACAAAAGGAUUGAAUAUUGGAAUGAACGGCAAAGAAAGAGGAAACAAAUCUAAUAUUUGCUCAGACAUCACCAGAACUAGAAUUACAUGAGAAAAAGAUACUUAAGUUCACAUUAUUCCUUUUUCCACUAUUUAAAAAUUUCAUGAACAAACUUAUAAUACAACCAUCGCCCACAACGAGGUCAACCGCCAAGCCGCUGCCGCAACCGCCACUUCUGCAGCCGCCGCCACCACCCCCCCAACCACCCCCAGAUCCACCGCAGCCACUGUCACCACCACAACCGUCCCCGCACCCACCUUCACUGCUGGAGUCGAGCACUGAGCCGAUGGCCGUGGUCCAGCCCCCCGAAUACAAUGUAUAACACAUAUUUGAGUACUGCUGUAGUAGAGAAGUCAUUGAAUGUAACAACCGACAUCGUCACAUUUAAAAAAAAAGUAUACUGCAAAAAUAAGAAAAAUCUAAUAUUUGGUCGAAUCACCAGAAUAAGAAUUGUAUCACCAGAAUAAGAAUUGUGUUACAUGACAAAAAAAAGUAGUAAAAAUCUGGUGAGCAAACUUUUAAUAAUGUAUUCUGAUCACACGCACAUUUUUUCGAGUAAAAAAAAAACCCAGGCAAACAACCACCACGCGGCAAAUAACCACAACCACCGUAGCGACGACGAGGUCAACCACCGCACCCUCCGCCGCAACCACCGCCACCGCAGCCGCCGCCUCCACAACCGCCACCGCCGGAGUUGAGCGCCGAGCCGAUGACGGCGCCGGCGGCCAGCCCCCCGACCGCGCCGACGGCGAGCCCCGCGGCGCCGGAGCCGAGCCCGCUGCGGCCUGGCCGCCCGGCGCUCUGCUGCUGCGGGUACGCGUAGCCGUAGCCGGGGGCCGGCUGCUGCGCCGGGUAGCCGUACGCCCCAGCGGGAGGCGGCGGGUAGCCCUGGCCGUAGUAGUAGACGUUGUUGUUGUUAUGCCGAGGCGGCUUCUUGGCGCCCUGCGCGCACCCGAACGCCGCGAUCGCCGCCACGGCCACCGUCGCGGCCACCGCGAGCGCCACGAUGGCGACCCCGCUGAGGUGAGCGUGCUGCUGCGUGGCUGCAGCAGCUCCGCUCGCUGCGGCGAGAAGACUCGCCCGCACCAU